AUUGAACGCUGGCGGCAUGCCUUACACAUGCAAGUCGAACGGCAGCGCGGGAGCAAUCCUGGCGGCGAGUGGCGAACGGGUGAGUAAUACAUCGGAACGUGCCCAAUCGUGGGGAUAACGCAGCGAAAGCUGUGCUAAUACCGCAUACGAUCUACGGAUGAAAGCAGGGGAUCGCAAGACCUUGCGCGAAUGGAGCGGCCGAUGGCAGAUUAGGUAGUUGGUGAGGUAAAGGCUCACCAAGCCUUCGAUCUGUAGCUGGUCUGAGAGGACGACCAGCCACACUGGGACUGAGACACGGCCCAGACUCCUACGGGAGGCAGCAGUGGGGAAUUUUGGACAAUGGGCGAAAGCCUGAUCCAGCCAUGCCGCGUGCAGGAUGAAGGCCUUCGGGUUGUAAACUGCUUUUGUACGGAACGAAACGGUCUUUUCUAAUAAAGAAGGCUAAUGACGGUACCGUAAGAAUAAGCACCGGCUAACUACGUG
rnacentral:rRNA from 1 species